UACGGAGGGUGCAAGCGUUGUCCGGAAUCACUGGGCGUAAAGGGCGCGUAGGCGGCUCAUGAAGGCUGUGGUGAAAGUCCGGGGCUCAACCUCGGAUCGGCCGUGGCGACUCGUGGGCUGGAGCACUGUAGAGGCGGGUGGAAUUCCGGGUGUAGCGGUGGAAUGCGUAGAUAUCGGGAGGAACACCUGUGGCGAAAGCGGCUCACUGGACCAUAACUGACGCUGAUGCACGAAAGCUGGGGGGAGCAAACAGG
rnacentral:rRNA from 1 species